rnacentral:rRNA from 1 species
AGUGAACGCUGGCGGUAGGCCUAACACAUGCAAGUCGAACGGCAGCACAGUAAGAGCUUGCUCUUACGGGUGGCGAGUGGCGGACGGGUGAGGAAUACAUCGGAAUCUACUUUUUCGUGGGGGAUAACGUAGGGAAACUUAUGCUAAUACCGCAUACGACCUACGGGUGAAAGCAGGGGAUCUUCGGACCUUGCGCGAUUGAAUGAGCCGAUGUCGGAUUAGCUAGUUGGCGGGGUAAAGGCCCACCAAGGCGACGAUCCGUAGCUGGUCUGAGAGGAUGAUCAGCCACACUGGAACUGAGACACGGUCCAGACUCCUACGGGAGGCAGCAGUGGGGAAUAUUGGACAAUGGGCGCAAGCCUGAUCCAGCCAUACCGCGUGGGUGAAGAAGGCCUUCGGGUUGCAAAGCCCUUUUGUUGGGAAAGAAAAGCAGCAGGUUAAUACCCCGCUGUUCUGACGGUACCCAAAGAAUAAGCACCGGCUAACUUCGUG